GGCCUCCUAGUGCUUACCACAAGCUGUGUUCUUACACCCAUUAUAUAGAAAGAGGAGGCAAGGUAAAUCUACUCCAUAUACACCUCAGCCCAGGCGCUGUGCCUGGUAUGUAUUGUGAGGCAUGGGGUGGGAGGA
rnacentral:snoRNA from 1 species